rnacentral:tRNA from 1 species
GAGGGUAUGGCUCAGUGGUAGAGCGCAUGCCUAGCAUUCACGGGGUCCUGGGUUCAAUCCCCAGUACCGCCA